CUACGGGAUGCUGCAGCGAGGAAUAUUGCACAAUGGGGGGAACCCUGAUGCAGCAACGCCGCGUGGAGGAUGACGCAUUUCGGUGUGUAAACUCCUUUUAUAUGUCAAGAAAAUGACGGUAGCAUAUGAAUAAGCACCGGCUAACUCCGUGGCCAGCAGCCGCGGUAAUACGGAGGGUGCAAGCGUUACUCGGAAUCACUGGGCGUAAAGGACGCGUAGGCGGGUUGGAAAGUCAGGUGUGAAAUCCUACAGCUUAACUGUAGAACUGCACUUGAAACUUCUAAUCUAGAGUAUGGGAGGGGGAGAUGGAAUUAGUGGUGUAGGGGUAAAAUCCGUAUAUAUCACUAGGAAUACCUAAAGCGAAGGCGAUCUCCUGGAACAUUACUGACGCUAAGGCGUGAAAGCGUGGGGAGCAAACAGGAUUAGAUACCCGAGUAGUC
rnacentral:rRNA from 1 species